rnacentral:rRNA from 1 species
GAUGAACGCUAGCGGCAGGCUUAAUACAUGCAAGUCGAGGGGCAGCAGGACUGUAGCAAUACAGUUGCUGGCGACCGGCAAACGGGUGCGGAACACGUACGCAACCUUCCUUUAAGUGAGGGAUAGCCCAGGGAAACUUGGAUUAAUACCUCGUAAUAUUUGAGAGUGGCAUCACUUUUUAAUUAUAGCUCCGGCGCUUAAAGAUGGGCGUGCGACUGAUUAGGUAGUUGGCGGGGUAACGGCCCACCAAGCCUACGAUCAGUAACUGGUGUGAGAGCACGACCAGUCACACGGGCACUGAGACACGGGCCCGACUCCUACGGGAGGCAGCAGUAAGGAAUAUUGGUCAAUGGACGCAAGUCUGAACCAGCCAUGCCGCGUGGAGGAUGAAGGUCCUCUGGAUUGUAAACUUCUUUUAUCUGGGAAGAAACCCAUAUUUUCUAGUGUGGUUGACGGUACCAGAUGAAUAAGCACCGGCUAACUCCGUGCCAGCCGCCGCGGUAAUAC